UACAGAGGUCCCAAGCGUUGUUCGGAUUCAUUGGGCGUAAAGGGUGUGUAGGUGGCGCCGUAAGUCGGGUGUGAAAUCUCGGGGCUUAACUCCGAAACUGCAUUCGAUACUGCGGUGCUUGAGGACUGGAGAGGAGACUGGAAUUCAUGGUGUAGCAGUGAAAUGCGUAGAGAUCAUGAGGAAGACCAGUGGCGAAGGCGAGUCUCUGGACAGUUCCUGACACUGAGACACGAAGGCCAGGGGAGCAAACGGG
rnacentral:rRNA from 1 species